rnacentral:rRNA from 1 species
GGCCCAGACUCCUACGGGAGGCAGCAGUGGGGGAUAUUGCACAAUGGGGGGAACCCUGAUGCAGCGACGCCGCGUGGGUGAAGAAGCGCCUCGGCGCGUAAAGCCCUGUCAGCAGGGAAGAAAAUGACGGUACCUGAAGAAGAAGCCCCGGCUAACUACGUGCCAGCAGCCGCGGUAAUACGUAGGGGGCAAGCGUUAUCCGGAUUUACUGGGUGUAAAGGGAGCGCAGGCGGCGCGCCAAGUCUGAUGUGAAACCCCGGGGCUCAACCCCGGGCAUGCAUUGGAAACUGGCGGGCUGGAGUGCCGGAGAGGUAAGCGGAAUUCCUAGUGUAGCGGUGAAAUGCGUAGAUAUUAGGAGGAACACCAGUGGCGAAGGCGGCUUACUGGACGGCAACUGACGCUGAGGCUCGAAAGUGUGGGUAUCAAACAGGAUUAGAUACCCCAGUA